rnacentral:rRNA from 1 species
UGCCAGCAGCCGCGGUAAUACGAAGGGUGCAAGCGUUACUCGGAAUUACUGGGCGUAAAGCGUGCGUAGGUGGUCGUUUAAGUCCGUUGUGAAAGCCCUGGGCUCAACCUGGGAACUGCAGUGGAUACUGGGCGACUAGAGUGUGGUAGAGGGUAGCGGAAUUCCUGGUGUAGCAGUGAAAUGCGUAGAGAUCAGGAGGAACAUCCAUGGCGAAGGCAGCUACCUGGACCAACACUGACACUGAGGCACGAAAGCGUGGGGAGCAAACAGGAUUAGAUACCCUGGUAGUCCACG